GACGAACGCUGGCGGCGUGCUUAACACAUGCAAGUCGAACGAAGUGGCGAACGGGUGAGUAACGCGUAACCAACCUGCCCUUCAGAGGGGGACAACAGUUGGAAACGACUGCUAAUACCGCAGCAUGAAGGAGGGGAUUCCGUCUGAUUGGCUAGUUGGAGGGGUAACGGGCAACCCAGGCGAUGAUCAGUAGCCGGUCUGAGAGGAGGAACGGCCACAUUGGGACUGAGGCACGGCCCAGACUCCUACCGGAGGCAGCAGUGGGGAAUCUUCCGCGAUGGACGAAAGUCUGACGGAGCAACGCCGCGUGAGUGAUGACGGCCUUCGGGUUGUAAAGCUCUGUUAAUCGGGACGCGGUACCGGAAUAGAAAGCCACGGCUAACUACGUGCCAGCAGCCGCGGUAAUAC
rnacentral:rRNA from 1 species